ACAACAUUCGUGGACCGUCGGUCUACCGAGCAAUAUUACCGGCUCCGUGGAAGAUCUUCCCUUUGUCAC
rnacentral:pre_miRNA from 1 species